GCACUGCUGAGGAGUCCCAUACCAGGACGAAACGGCCGUUCAGUGC
rfam:Schistosoma margrebowiei strain Zambia genome assembly, scaffold: SMRZ_scaffold0002729